CUCGCUUUGGCACUACAUAUAGUCAAAUUGGGAUGAUAAAGAGAAAGUUAGCAUGACAUGCACAAAGAUGACUCACAAACUCAUGAAACAUUGGGGUUUAAU